rfam:Ictidomys tridecemlineatus contig118839, whole genome shotgun sequence.
GGGGUUGUGGCUUAGUGGUAGAGUGCUUGCCUCUCGCGCAUGAAGCCCUGGGUUCCAUCCUCAGCACCA